rnacentral:rRNA from 1 species
AUGGAGGAGCACCGUGGCGAGAUGGCCCGCUGGCUCGACAUCCUCGCCGCCAAGGGGGUCCAAGAACUCGUCUUUGUCAACCGCCCUUUGCCGAUUGACCUGCGCCUCCCCGCCACCAUCUUCAGCUGCGCCUCCCUCACCCGCCUCCAUCUCGGCGUCUGGAGGCUGCCGGACACCGCCGCCGUACCGCGCGCCGCCAGGUUCCCCAAUCUCCGGGAGCUCGGCCUCUACUGGAACUCCAUGGAGGACCGUGAUCUCGACUUCAUGCUUGAAAGAAGCCCCGUCCUGGAGUCCCUCUUCAUCCUGGGAUUCCAGAGCGGAUUGCGCCUCCGCCUCGUCAACCAGAGCCUGCGGUGCAUUCAGCUCGGCUUUUCCUUCGCGGAGGACAUCGACUUGGUGGAUGCCCCUCGCCUGGAGAGGCUCUUUCAGUUCGCCGAGCUCACCGAGUCCCCCAAGAUGAACAAUGGCCGCCCCACCAGGAAACGCUCUUCUGUGAUCAAGAUUGGUUCUGCUCCUAAACUGCGUGUGCUGGGAUACCUUAAGCCAGGAGAGCAAGAGCUGGUUGGGAGCAAGGAGAACAUUGUCCCUAGUGUGCAGAUUUUGGGCAUAGAGGUGCAAUUCGGUGUCCGCAAUACUGUCAAGAAAGUGCCUGGCUUUCUCAGAUGCUUCCCCAACCUGGAGACGCUCCAUGUCCAGUCCCGCCCCAUAUCUGAAGAGUCCACUGCAAGGUGA